rnacentral:rRNA from 1 species
UACGGGAGGCAGCAGUGGGGAAUCUUGCGCAAUGGGCGAAAGCCUGACGCAGCCAUGCCGCGUGAAUGAUGAAGGUCUUAGGAUUGUAAAAUUCUUUCACCGGGGACGAUAAUGACGGUACCCGGAGAAGAAGCCCCGGCUAACUUCGUGCCAGCAGCCGCGGUAAUACGAAGGGGCUAGCGUUGCUCGGAAUUACUGGGCGUAAAGGGAGCGUAGGCGGACAUUUAAGUCAGGGGUGAAAUCCCGGGGCUCAACCUCGGAAUUGCCUUUGAUACUGGGUGUCUUGAGUAUGAGAGAGGUGUGUGGAACUCCGAGUGUAGAGGUGAAAUUCGUAGAUAUUCGGAAGAACACCAGUGGCGAAGGCGACACACUGGCUCAUUACUGACGCUGAGGCUCGAAAGCGUGGGGAGCAAACAGGGAUUUAGAUACC